GACGAACGCUGGCGGCGUGCCUAAUACAUGCAAGUUGAGCGAUGAAGAUUGGUGCUUGCACCAAUUUGAAGAGCAGCGAACGGGUGAGUAACGCGUGGGGAAUCUGCCUUUGAGCGGGGGACAACAUUUGGAAACGAAUGCUAAUACCGCAUAACAACUUUAAACAUAAGUUUUAAGUUUGAAAGAUGCAAUUGCAUCACUCAAAGAUGAUCCCGCGUUGUAUUAGCUAGUUGGUGAGGUAAAGGCUCACCAAGGCGAUGAUACAUAGCCGACCUGAGAGGGUGAUCGGCCACAUUGGGACUGAGACACGGCCCAAACUCCUACGGGAGGCAGCAGUAGGGAAUCUUCGGCAAUGGACGAAAGUCUGACCGAGCAACGCCGCGUGAGUGAAGAGGGUUUUCGGAUCGUAAAACUCUGUUGGUAGAGAAGAACGUUGGUGAGAGUGGAAAGCUCAUCAAGUGACGGUAACUACCCAGAAAGGGACGGCUAACUACGUG
rnacentral:rRNA from 1 species